GGCCGGUUAGCUCAGUUGGUUAGAGUGUGGUGCUGAUAACACCAAGGUCAAGGUCAAGGGUUGGAUCCCCAUACCGGCCA